GACAGAGGGUGCAAACGUUGUUCGGAUUUAUUGGGCGUAAAGAGCGUGUAGGCGGCCUGACAGGUCUGCUGUGAAAACUCGAGGCUCAACCUCGAGAUGUCGGCGGAAACCGUCUGGCUAGAGUCCGGAAGAGGAGAGUGGAAUUCCUGGUGUAGCGGUGAAAUGCGCAGAUAUCAGGAAGAACACCUAUGGCGAAGGCAGCUCUCUGGGACGGUACUGACGCUGAGACGCGAAAGCGUGGGGAGCGAACAGG
rnacentral:rRNA from 1 species